rnacentral:lncRNA from 1 species
UGCUGCUGUUGGUUUCUGCCCUGAGGUUGUGAGGGGCUGUGUGGGGCUGUGUGGGGCAGUGGGGCUAGUGUUAGGGAAUAGGGGCUAGUGUGUGUGCUCAGUAGGGGACAGAAUUGGGGACUAAGUGGUGGAGGGUUGGGGGUCCUGGGGCCCAUAAUGACCUGUUGUGUGUUGUGGAGCUGUGAACCAUUCGUUGGAGGACAGAGAGGCAUUGUGUUACACUGGGCUGCCCACGCUGGCUACACCACUGAGAACCACCACAGGCUGUGUGUGUGGGGGGUGGGGGCCAAUAUCCCAUUGAUUUUCCCAUGCAUCUUCCUUUUACCCCUCUGAUCUGCAUCAGAAAGACAUUUCCCUGAGAAGUAAACUACGUUUUGCAAGUGAGUAGUCUGCUGGAUGAAGCUCUUUCCCUCUGUACCCAUAGCUACACAGCCAGGUCUCUCUUGGGAAGGAUGUCUUCGGAACUCAAUAGGACUUCCUGGUUCAAUUAAAUGUGACAGAAAAAGUGCAUCUGCACCAACACCUUGUGGUUAGAACGUCUGCCCUGAGAUUGCAAGGUUGGGAGUUCGAUCACCGGCCGAGUCAUACCAAAGGCUGUAAAAAAUGGGACCCGAUACGUCUCUGCUUGCCACUCAGCAUUAAGGAGAUGGAUUGGGGGUAAGGCCCUGCGAUAGACCAGUGUACUGUCCAGGGGGGGUACUGGCACAUCAAGCUGCCUCACGCUACAGAAACAAAAGAUCAGCUCCUGCUCCUAUGAGCCGUUCUGGCUCUCACAAGCAAGUCUACUUACUAUGAUCUAUAUAGACAACAUACCUACGUAUGCGUCAAACUCCUUUGCUCAAUAACACAGGAAUCCACAGCAGUCCUGGGCAACCAUACAGGUGGUUAUUGGUCUAAUGAUGCCCCCCUCCACCCAAAACCACAUGACACCCGAACUCAGCACUGUCUGAAUGAGAGGGGGGAAGGUAGGGGGAGGCCUGGGGCUGAAAGUGGUGCUGUCUGCAGCCUCUCAUACCACCACUACUAUAAGCCCUAAUUGGUUAAUUAGAUCACUGCUGAUUGAGGGAGACCUCAGAGGUUAUUAUUAUGGGAGGCUGGGAUAGUAACCUGGGGUUACCCUUAUUACACACUACAUGACAAAAAGUAUGUGGACACCUGCUCGUCGAACAACUCAUUCCAAAAUCAUGGGCAUUAAUAUGGGGUUGGUCCCCCGUUUGCUGCCAUAACAGAAUUCGCUCUUCUGGGAAGGAUUUACACUAGAUGUUGGAAC